GGUCAAGCUACUAAGGGCGUACGGUGGAUGCCUAGGCGCUAAGAGUCGAAGAAGGGCGCGGUUAACAGCGAAAUGCCACGGGGAGUCGUAAGCAGGUUAUGAUCCGUGGAUACCCGAAUGGGGCAACCCAACCGGAGUCAUGUCCGGUUAUCUUUAACUGAAUAAAUAGGUUAAAGAAGGCAACCCGGGGAACUGAAACAUCUAAGUACCCGGAGGAAGAGAAAGAAUAAUCGAUUCCCUGAGUAGCGGCGAGCGAAACGGGAAGAGCCCAAACCCAUCCAGAGGCCAGAGGUCAGAAGCCUGAAGCCAGAAUGAAUGACGGUUUGUAAGGAAUUUAAGCGAUGUAUAAAGACUUAAGUACCUGAAAAACUAACAUGCAUCUGACAUCUGGCAUCCGAUUUCCGGCCUCUGGGUGGGGGUUGUAGGACCCUCUAUUAAGUUAAGAUCUCUAGCUGAACAGAACUGGAAAGUUCGGGCGGAGAAGGUAACACCCCUGUAAACGAAAGGGAGCUUAACUGUGAGGGGAUCCUGAGUACCGCGGGACACGAGAAACCCCGUGGGAAGCAGGGAGGACCACCUCCCAAGGCUAAAUACUACUUAGCGACCGAUAGCGAACAAGUACCGUGAGGGAAAGGUGAAAAGCACCUCGGAAGNNNNNNNNNNNNNNNNNNNNNNNNNNNNNNNNNNNNNNNNNNNNNNNNNGCGUGAUGGCGUGCCUUUUGUAGAAUGAACCGGCGAGUUAUGGUAUGUAGCGAGGUUAAGGCGGGAAGCCGGAGCCGAAGCGAAAGCGAGUCUGAAAAGGGCGGAUAGUUACAUGCUGUAGACCCGAAACCGUGUGAUCUACCCAUGGCCAGGGUGAAGGUGGGGUAAAACCCACUGGAGGCCCGAACUCACUGUCGUUGAAAAGGCAGGGGAUGAGCUGUGGGUAGGGGUGAAAUGCCAAUCGAACACGGAGAUAGCUGGUUCUCCCCGAAAUAGCUUUAGGGCUAGCCUCAAUAGAUGACUAAUGGCGGUAGAGCACUGAAUAGGCUAGGGGCCUUACCAGGUUACCGAACCUUAUCAAACUCCGAAUGCCAUUAGAUUAAGAUUGGGAGUCAGACUGUGGGGGAUAAGCUUCAUAGUCGAAAGGGAAACAGCCCAGACCAUCAGCUAAGGUCCCAAAGAUACACUAAGUGGGAAAGGAUGUGGAAUUGCCCAGACAACCAGGAUGUUGGCUCAGAAGCAGCCACCAUUUAAAGAGUGCGUAAUAGCUCACUGGUCGAGUGGUUCUGCGCCGAAAAUGUAACGGGGCUCAAGUGUAACACCGAAGCUAUGGAUCCAGAGGUCAGAUGACAGAGGCCAGAAGUCAUUCCAGAAGCCAGAAAUCAGAAGCCAGAGAUCAGAACAAUAAUCUGACAUCCGGCAUCUGACCACUGAUAUCUGGAUUAAUGGCCCAAGGUUCAAAAGACGAAGUAAAGGUCUUACUGGAAAUGAGUAAAGACCUAGGUUAUAUCCAAGAAGAAGAGUAUAUAAAGUUGUAUGAAAGUUAUGAUGAACUUGGAAAACAGCUGUAUGCGCUUCAUGUAAAAUGGAAAUAAUCUGGCUUCCGGCUUCUGACAUCUGACCUCUGAGAUGGUAGGGGAGCGUUCUAUGAUCAGAGAAGUUCAACCGGAAGGUUGAGUGGAGAGAAUAGAAGUGAGAAUGCCGGUAUGAGUAUGCGAAAAGACAAGUGAGAAUCUUGUCCGCCGAAAAUCUAAGGAUUCCUGGGGAAGGCUCGUCCGCCCAGGGUAAGUCGGGACCUAAGCCGAGGCCGAAAGGCGUAGGUGAUGGAUAACUGGUUGAAAGUCCAGUACCACCUGGAAAUGUUUGAGCAAAGGGGCGACACAGAAGGAUAGUUUAAGCCAACCGUUGGUAGAGUUGGCCCAAGCGAGAAGGAUGUAGGGCAGGCAAAUCCGCCCUAUGGUAAGUCUGAGACGUGACGGGGAGCGAAAAAUAGUAGCGAAGUAAGCGACUCCAGGCUGUCAAGAAAAACCUCUAGUGAGUGACCAGGUGCCCGUACCGAAAACCGACACAGGUAGAUGGGGUGAGAAUCCUAAGGCGCGCGAGAAAACCCUCGUUAAGGAACUCGGCAAAAUAGCCCCGUAACUUCGGGAGAAGGGGCGCUCUUAAUGAAAGAAGAGCCGCAGAGAAAUGGUCCAGGCGACUGUUUAACAAAAACACAGGUCCCUGCCAAUCCGCAAGGAGAAGUAUAGGGGCUGACACCUGCCCGGUGCUGGAAGGUUAAGAGGAGAGGUUAGCUUGAAAGAGCGAAGCUUUGAAUUGAAGCCCCAGUAAACGGCGGCCGUAACUAUAACGGUCCUAAGGUAGCGAAAUUCCUUGUCAGGUAAGUUCUGACCCGCACGAAAGGUGUAACGAUCUGGACACUGUCUCAACGAGGGACUCGGCGAAAUUGUAAUACCCGUGAAGAUGCGGGUUACCUGCGACAGGACAGAAAGACCCCAUGGAGCUUUACUGCAGCUUGAGAUUGGAUUUUGGUAUAAAAUGUACAGGAUAGGUGGGAGACAGAGAAGCCAGGGCGCCAGCUUUGGUGGAGUCAGCGGUGGGAUACCACUCUUUUUGUACUGAAGUUCUAACUAGGUCCCCUGAAGCGGGGAUUAGGACAGUCUCAGGUGGGCAGUUUGACUGGGGCGGUCGCCUCCUAAAGAGUAACGGAGGCGCCCAAAGGUUCCCUCAGCGCGGUUGGAAAUCGCGCGCAGAGUGUAAAGGCAAAAGGGAGCUUGACUGCGAGACCAACAAGUCGAGCAGGGACGAAAGUCGGGCUUAGUGAUCCGGUGGUACCGAGUGGAAGGGCCAUCGCUCAACGGAUAAAAGCUACCCUGGGGAUAACAGGCUUAUCUCCCCCAAGAGUCCAUAUCGACGGGGAGGUUUGGCACCUCGAUGUCGGCUCAUCGCAUCCUGGGGCUGUAGUAGGUCCCAAGGGUUGGGCUGUUCGCCCAUUAAAGCGGUACGUGAGCUGGGUUCAGAACGUCGUGAGACAGUUCGGUCCCUAUCCGUCGCAGGCGGAGGAAAUUUGAGAGGAUCUGUCCCUAGUACGAGAGGACCGGGAUGGACGAAUCACUGGUGUACCAGUUGUCUCGCCAGAGGCACAGCUGGGUAGCUAUAUUCGGAGCGGAUAAGCGCUGAAAGCAUCUAAGCGCGAAACCGGCCUCAAGAUGAGAUUUCCCACGAGCGAAAGCUUGGUAAGACCCCUGAAAGAUUAACAGGUUGAUAGGCCAGGUGUGGAAGCGCCGUGAGGUGUGGAGCUGACUGGUACUAAUAGGUCGAGGGCUUGACCUA
rfam:Desulfosporosinus sp. Tol-M Desulfosporosinus_sp._Tol-M_contig_16S, whole genome shotgun sequence.